AAGACUAUACUUCACAGGAUCAUUUCUGUAGUCAGUCUUCAUUUAUUGCCAUCACAAGAUGGCCAUAACUCUACCCGCGAUGACGAGUUAUGUCGUUUUACCUGGAGCGUGAGGUUAUGAACAUUGUCGGUUCAGUUCGCCAUUAUGGUGGGCUGGGGAACAAUGUUUCUUCGAUGAUCGCUUGAUUAACGGGUAAAACGAUUUCAGAGUGGU
rnacentral:snoRNA from 1 species